UGGGGAAUAUUGCGCAAUGGGGGGAACCCUGACGCAGCCAUGCCGCGUGAAUGAAGAAGGCCUUAGGGUUGUAAAGUUCUUUCGGUAUUGAGGAAGGUCGAUGUGUUAAUAGCACAUCAAAUUGACGUUAAAUACAGAAGAAGCACCGGCUAACUCCGUGCCAGCAGCCGCGGUAAUACGGAGGGUGCGAGCGUUAAUCGGAAUAACUGGACGUAAAGGGCACGCAGGCGGUUAUUUAAGUGAGGUGUGAAAGCCCCGGGCUUAACCUGGGAAUUGCAUUUCAGACUGGGUAACUAGAGUACUUUAGGGAGGGGUAGAAUUCCACGUGUAGCGGUGAAAUGCGUAGAGAUGUGGAGGAAUACCGAAGGCGAAGGCAGCCCCUUGGGAAUGUACUGACGCUCAUGUGCGAAAGCGUGGGGAGCAAACAGGAUUAGAUAUACCCUGGUAGUCCACGCUGUAAACGCUGUCGAUUUGGGGGUUGGGGUUUAACUCUGGCGCCCGUAGCUAACGUGAUAAAUCGACCGCCUGGGGAGUACGGCCGCAAGGUUA
rnacentral:rRNA from 1 species